rnacentral:misc_RNA from 1 species
GAUGAAGAACGUAGCGAAAUGCGAUAAGUAAUGUGAAUUGCAGAAUUCAGUGAAUCAUCGAAUCUUUGAACGCACCUUGCGCCCUUUGGCCAUUCCGAAGGGCAUGCCUGUUUGAGUAUCAUGAACACCUCAACUCUUCAUGGUUUUCCGUGAUGAGCUUGGACUUUGGGGGUCUUGCUGGCCUAUGGUCAGCUCCUCUAAAAUAAAUCAGCUUGCCAGUGUUUGGUGGGUAUCACAGGUGUGAUAACUAUCUACGCUUGUGGUUUUCCACCAGGUAACCUUCAGCAGUGGAGGUUCGCUGGAGCUCACAGAUGUGUCUCUCCUCAGUGAGGACAGCUCUUUGAAUGUUUGAUCUCAAAUCAGGCAGGACUACCCGCUGAACUUAAGCAUAUCAAUAAGCGGAGGA